rnacentral:piRNA from 1 species
UGGGCGGUUUAUUUUUUAAUC